rnacentral:rRNA from 1 species
GACGAACGCUGGCGGCGUGCUUAACACAUGCAAGUCGAACGGAAAGGCCCUGCUUUUGUGGGGUGCUCGAGUGGCGAACGGGUGAGUAACACGUGAGUAACCUGCCCUUGACUUUGGGAUAACUUCAGGAAACUGGGGCUAAUACCGGAUAGGAGCUCCUGCUGCAUGGUGGGGGUUGGAAAGAUUCGGCGGUUGGGGAUGGACUCGCGGCUUAUCAGCUUGUUGGUGGGGUAGUGGCUUACCAAGGCUUUGACGGGUAGCCGGCCUGAGAGGGUGACCGGCCACAUUGGGACUGAGAUACGGACCAGAAUCCUACGGGAGGCAGCAGUGGGGAAUAUUGCACAAUGGGCGGAAGCCUGAUGCAGCAACGCCGCGUGCGGGAUGACGGCCUUCGGGUUGUAAACCGCUUUCGCCUGUGACGAAGCGUGAGUGACGGUAAUGGGUAAAGAAGCACCGGCUAACUACGUG